rnacentral:rRNA from 1 species
UACAGAGGUCUCAAGCGUUUGUUCGGAUUCAUUGGGCGUAAAGGGUGCGUAGGUGGCGUGGUAAGUCGGGUGUGAAAUUUCGGAGCUUAACUCCGAAACUGCAUUCGAUACUGCCGUGCUUGAGGACUGGAGAGGAGACUGGAAUUUACGGUGUAGCAGUGAAAUGCGUAGAGAUCGUAAGGAAGACCAGUGGCGAAGGCGGGUCUCUGGACAGUUCCUGACACUGAGGCACGAAGGCCAGGGGAGCAAAACGGGG